rnacentral:rRNA from 1 species
AGCUUGCUCCACCGGAAAAAGAGGAGUGGCGAACGGGUGAGUAACACGUGGGUAACCUGCCCAUCAGAAGGGGAUAACACUUGGAAACAGGUGCUAAUACCGUAUAACAAUCAAAACCGCAUGGUUUUGAUUUGAAAGGCGCUUUCGGGUGUCGCUGAUGGAUGGACCCGCGGUGCAUUAGCUAGUUGGUGAGGUAACGGCUCACCAAGGCCACGAUGCAUAGCCGACCUGAGAGGGUGAUCGGCCACAUUGGGACUGAGACACGGCCCAAACUCCUACGGGAGGCAGCAGUAGGGAAUCUUCGGCAAUGGACGAAAGUCUGACCGAGCAACGCCGCGUGAGUGAAGAAGGUUUUCGGAUCGUAAAACUCUGUUGUUAGAGAAGAACAAGGAUGAGAGUAACUGUUCAUCCCUUGACGGUAUCUAACCAGAAAGCCACGGCUAACUACGUGCCAGCAGCCGCGGUAAUACGUAGGUGGCAAGCGUUGUCCGGAUUUAUUGGGCGUAAAGCGAGCGCAGGCGGUUUCUUAAGUCUGAUGUGAAGCCCCCGGCUCAACCGGGGAGGGUCAUUGGAAACUGGGAGACUUGAGUGCAGAAGAGGAGAGUGGAAUUCCAUGUGUAGCGGUGAAAUGCGUAGAUAUAUGGAGGAACACCAGUGGCGAAGGCGGCUCUCUGG